CUAAAAACACAGCACUCUGCAAACUUGCAAAAGGAAGUAUAGAGUGUGACGCCUGCCCGGUGCUGGAAGGUUAAGUGAUGAUGUUAGUCUUUGGACGAAGCAUUUGACCGAAGCCCCAGUGAACGGCGGCCGUAACUAUAACGGUCCUAAGGUAGCGAAAUUCCUUGUCGGGUAAGUUCCGACCUGCACGAAUGGCGUAACGACUUCCCCGCUGUCUCCGGCAUCGACUCAGUGAAAUUGAAUUCCCCGUGAAGAUGCGGGGUAUCUGCGGUCAGACGGAAAGACCCCGUGAACCUUUACUAUAGCUUUGCACUGGACUUUGAAUUUGCUUGUGUAGGAUAGGUGGGAGGCUUUGAAGCGUGGACGCCAGUUCGCGUGGAGCCAACCUUGAAAUACCACCCUGGCAACUUUGAGGUUCUAACUCAGGUCCGUUAUCCGGAUCGAGGACAGUGUAUGGUGGGUAGUUUGACUGGGGCGGUCUCCUCCCAAAGAGUAACGGAGGAGCGCAAAGGUAUGCUUCGCUCGGUCGGAAAUCGAGCUGGACGUGCAAUGACAAAAGCAUGCUUGACUGCAAGAGUGACGGCUCAAGCAGGUGCGAAAGCAGGUCAUAGUGAUCCGGUGGCGCUUUAUGGAAGGGCCAUCGCUCAACGGAUAAAAGGUACGCCGGGGAUAACAGGCUAAUUCCUCCCAAGAGUCCACAUCGACGGAGGAGUUUGGCACCUCGAUGUCGGCUCAUCACAUCCUGGGGCUGUAGCAGGUCCCAAGGGUAUGGCUGUUCGCCAUUUAAAGUGGUACGUGAGCUGGGUUUAGAACGUCGUGAGACAGUUCGGUCCCUAUCUGCAGUGGGCGCUGGAAAUUUGAAGGGAUCUGCUCCUAGUACGAGAGGACCGGAGUGGACGAACCUCUGGUGUACCGGUUGUCGCGCCAGCGGCAUUGCCGGGUGGCUAUGUUCGGAAUGGAUAACCGCUGAAAGCAUCUAAGUGGGAAGCCAACCCUGAGACGAGAUUUCCCGAGGGCUUGACCCUCCUGAAGACCCCUUGAAGACGACGAGGUUGAUAGGUCGGAUGUGGAAGUGCGGCAACGCAUUAAGCUAACCGAUACUAAUUGGUCGUGCGGCUUGGUUCC
rnacentral:rRNA from 1 species